GCCCAGGGAGGAAAAGGGGAGGGGGAAAGAGUUAUUCCAAAGUGCUCUGGGACCGCUGCUGGGGCAGCUCAUCUCUAAGAGGAAACACAUGUUAUCCAGUCCUGUGCCUAAUAGGGUUGGACAGUAAUUAAAAAAUAUAUUUUAUUUGCAGAGCUGGGUCUUGAAACUAACAACUCGUGCCAUUAAUCUUAGUGAUUUAUAGUGAAGAUUUGACCGAGGGUCAGCAAGUGGGGUUUUGCUGGUGGUGCAGGGCCAUGCACUGUGAUGGGAUGAUACAGUCCUCAGCAGGACCAGUGUUACCACCGACAGUAGUUGGGAAAGGAGACACAUGACAACUGAACCCACAGCUCUUGAAUCCCAUCUAGAACUGCUAGCACUUCCUCCAGAAUACAAUGUAGGUGAGGCAGAGUUGUUGGAUGGAGUGGGAAUUAGGAAAAGAAUGGUUAUGGCCAUACUUGCUUGUUUUGCUCCUGUCAGAGGUGGCUCAGCGGAGCCUGUCUACCACUGAGCUGGAAACCAUGAAAUUUGCAUUCCCACAUGUAAAUACAAGCUAGCAGCUGAUGGGUUGUCUAAACCUUACGCUCUACCAUGCUAACUGCGUUGUAGACCUGUCUCAUCUGUCCUUCUAUGGAACUCUUCUGGCUUAUGGUGCCCUGCCCUGUUCCACUGGUAAAACCCAAUAUGCAGAGGGGUUGUGACCAGCACCGCCGGGCACAGCUAUUGCUCAGGUGAAAAUCUAUCCACAUCCAGAGUUGCUGUGACAUAGCAACUUUCUAAGGAAGUUCUGGAGGCCAAUUUUUUAGCCAGCCUCUAGCACAACAUGGGGAAACAUCAAUUAAGCCCCCUUGUCUUUUCAUUUCUCUUCAAUGUGGCUUCAGUAAAGAGAGAUACUCUUCAGUUUAGAGAAGCACAAGGAACUGUGAUGGGACGGAUCUUCAUAAAAUUAAAGGUAUGUUUUCCCAUGCAGCUUCCUAAUAGAUCAAGACUGGGUUACAGACUGGCUUCUUAGGUUGGCUUAUUUACAGUGUUUGGGGAUUUAUGGUUUUUAGUAUUAUUUUUUUUUCCCAAGUUGUUGAUUAUUUUGAUUAUUUGAGAGAGAUUUUUUGUUAUACUGGUGGUAUACACAGCAAACUGAUUUUUGUGUCCAGUUCUAUAUAGUUCAUGUAAACAGAAAUUCAGAAAACACAAUAGUUACUCAACAGCAUUUUUGCUGGGAUUCAUAGAACAGCCAAGUUAAGUUCAGGGCCAUUUAUCUUUUCUUUCCUUUCAUUUAUUUAUUUGUUUUAGUUUCCCUGGCUGUAUCUCCUUGUCUUCUUUUUUUUUUCCUUUUCUUGUUUAUUUCAACUUGAGAGAUUCGGUGAAGAGAAAAAAAGAAAUAAGUGGAAGUUAUGCUAAUGAAUUCUGUGCUUCCCUUUUAAAGAUACAAGCAUAAUCUUUCGCUCACAUGCCUGCUGCAAAUUCAAGCAUGCAGGAUCAAAAUUUGAAAUUAUUCUCACUCUUGAAAUAAAACAAUUUAUGUAAAAAAUCUCUAGAAUGCA
rnacentral:lncRNA from 1 species